rnacentral:rRNA from 1 species
AUACAGAGGGUGCAAGCGUUAAUCGGAUUUACUGGGCGUAAAGCGCGCGUAGGCGGCUUUGUAAGUCGGAUGUGAAAGCCCUGGGCUUAACCUGGGAAUGGCAUUCGAUACUGCAUAACUAGAGUAUGGUAGAGGGAAGUGGAAUUUCCGGUGUAGCGGUGAAAUGCGUAGAUAUCGGAAGGAACACCAGUGGCGAAGGCGACUUCCUGGGCCAAUACUGACGCUGAGGUGCGAAAGCGUGGGGAGCAAACAGGAUUAGAAACCCCAGUAGUCC